UGUCCGGUCCCUUCCUAAAACUAAGACGAGUCAGAUGGGCGAGCCAGUGCAUAUAACCUACUACCUUACAAGCAAUGCUGGGUGCCCGGUUAAGGUACUGGUUACGUUCUUGGGCACGCCACCAUACGCACCACUGAACCAUUACUGUCGCUGUACGAUACUGUCCUUACCACAGGUAAGUUCAUGCACUAUGUCCAUCUACUCAUUCACCGGGCUCGAACUAAACCCUAGCGACUACUC